rnacentral:rRNA from 1 species
CGGAUUGGGACUGAGAUACGGCCCAGACUCCUACGGGGGGCAGCAAUUAGGAAUCUUGCACAAUGGGGGAAACCCUGAUGCAGCGACGUCGCGUGGAGGAUGAAAUCUUUCGGGAUGUAAACUCCUUUUCUCAGGGAAGAAACAAAUGACGGUACCUGAGGAAUAAGCCCCGGCUAACUACGUGCCAGCCGCCGCGGUAAAAC